GGUCAGGUGGUGUAGUGGCAACACCCUUGCUAUAUGUAUGUGCAAAAGACUCUGGGUUCAAUUCCUAGUCUAGCCA